AUACGGGAGGCAGCAGUCGAGAAUCAUUCACAAUGGGCGAAAGCCUGAUGGUGUGACGCCGCGUGGAGGAUGAAGGUCUUCGGAUUGUAAACUCCUGUCAAGUGAGAGUAAAGCCGGGCGUUAACUGCGAGCCGGUUUGAGAGUAUCACCAGAGGAAGAGACGGCUAACUCUGUGCCAGCAGCCGCGGUAAUACAGAGGUCUCAAGCGUUGUUCGGAAUCACUGGGCGUAAAGGGUGCGUAGGCCGCACGGUAAGUCAGAUGUGAAAGCCCGGAGCUCAACUUCGGAAUUGCAUCCGAUACUGCCGUGCUUGAGGACUGGAGAGGAGAUUGGAAUUCACAGUGGAGCAGUGAAAUGCGUAGAUAUUGUGAGGAACACUAGUGGCGAAGGCGAAUCUCUGGGCAGUUCCUGACGCUGAGGCACGAAGGCCAGGGGAGCAAACGGGAUUAGAUACCCCGGUAGC
rnacentral:rRNA from 1 species